GUGUUCGUAGAAAGGAGAGAUGGUUGUCUCUCCCCCGACCAGAUGUGAACAGCCUUGGGGCUUUACUUGUUAUCGGAUGCAUCCGGUUAAGCCUAACCCACUUCGGUGGAUCGUACCCAAUUUUUCA